GAGUUAAGGAAUUCGAAAAAAAGCUUCUAACUUAUUUUCAAGCGGUGAAAUCCGUUUUUAGCUCU
rnacentral:tRNA from 1 species